AUUUAACCAAGGUUGUGCCUCUAAGAAGUGAAAGACACAAGAUUUGGACUCAGGUUGUUGGAUUCCAGAGUCCAUGCUUUUAAUGAUUACUUUGAAGAACAUACCGUUCCAAGGAUUAUAAGGACACAGAGUGGGGAAUCUGGAAUUGUGCUGGAAGGCUCAGAAUUCAUGAACAGAUACAGAAAGAACAUGAAGCUGGGAGUGGACCAUGAAGUUAAGCUGUUUAGCUGCUGGAAUCACUUCCUCUCGCGGUCCCUGAACUGAAGAAGUGGACCGAUCAGCAGGGGCGGGGUGAACAGAUGCAGCUGGAGAGGAAGAGAGGCUUGGGGGAGUCACAUCUGAGCUGCCGUGGGGGAUGAGCUGUGA